CGAUGAUGCCCAGCUUGCUGGGUGGAUUAGUGGCGAACGGGUGAGUAACACGUGAGUAACCUGCCCUUGACUUCGGGAUAACUCCGGGAAACCGGGGCUAAUACCGGAUAUGAGCCGUCCUCGCAUGGGGGUGGUUGGAAAGUUUUUCGGUCAGGGAUGGGCUCGCGGCCUAUCAGCUUGUUGGUGGGGUGAUGGCCUACCAAGGCGACGACGGGUAGCCGGCCUGAGAGGGCGACCGGCCACACUGGGACUGAGACACGGCCCAGACUCCUACGGGAGGCAGCAGUGGGGAAUAUUGCACAAUGGGCGAAAGCCUGAUGCAGCGACGCCGCGUGAGGGAUGAAGGCCUUCGGGUUGUAAACCUCUUUCAGCAGGGAAGAAGCGCAAGUGACGGUACCUGCAGAAGAAGCGCCGGCUAACUACGUGCCAGCAGCCGCGGUAAUACGUAGGGCGCAAGCGUUGUCCGGAAUUAUUGGGCGUAAAGAGCUCGUAGGCGGUUUGUCGCGUCUGGUGUGAAAACUCGAGGCUCAACCUCGAGCUUGCAUCGGGUACGGGCAGACUAGAGUGCGGUAGGGGAGACUGGAAUUCCUGGUGUAGCGGUGGAAUGCGCAGAUAUCAGGAGGAACACCGAUGGCGAAGGCAGGUCUCUGGGCCGCAACUGACGCUGA
rnacentral:rRNA from 1 species